UGGCCGACGGGGGGCAGCAGUGGGGAAUAUUGGGCAAUGGGCGCAAGCCUGACCCAGCAACGCCGCGUGAAGGAAGAAGGCCCUCGGGUUGUAAACUUCUUUUAACAGGGACGAAGAAAGUGACGGUACCUGUUGAAUAAGCCACGGCUAACUACGUGCCAGCAGCCGCGGUAAUACGUAGGUGGCAAGCGUUAUCCGGAUUUACUGGGUGUAAAGGGCGUGUAGGCGGGAGAGCGAGUCAGACGUGGAAUUUCAGGGCUGA
rnacentral:rRNA from 1 species